rnacentral:piRNA from 1 species
UGGUCACUGUGGCCAGAGGGUNUUGGCCUGC